rnacentral:rRNA from 1 species
CCUACGGGUGGCAGCAGUGAGGAAUAUUGGUCAAUGGGCGCGAGCCUGAACCAGCCAAGUAGCGUGAAGGAUGACUGCCCUACGGGUUGUAAACUUCUUUUAUAAAGGAAUAAAGUGAGGCACGUGUGCCUUUUUGUAUGUACUUUAUGAAUAAGGAUCGGCUAACUCCGUGCCAGCAGCCGCGGUAAUACGGAGGAUCCGAGCGUUAUCCGGAUUUAUUGGGUUUAAAGGGAGCGUAGACGGGUUUUUAAGUGAGCCGUGAAAUUUUGGGGCUCAACCAUAAAAGUGCAGCGCAUACUGGAGACCUUGAGUGCGCGGAAGGCAGGCGGAAUUCGUGGUGUAGCGGUGAAAUGCUUAGAUAUCACGAAGAACCCCGAUUGCGAAGGCAGCCUGCCGAAGCGCUACUGACGCUGAUGCUCGAAAGCGCGGGUAUCAAACAGGAUUAGAUACCCCAGUAGUC